UGCCAGCAGCCGCGGUAAUACGGAGGGUGCAAGCGUUGUUCGGAAUUAUUGGGCGUAAAGAGCAUGUAGGCGGACUAUUAAGUCUGAUGUGAAAGCCCGGGGCUCAACCCCGGAAGUGCAUUGGAUACUGGUAGUCUCGAGUAUGGGAGAGGAAAGUGGAAUUCCGAGUGUAGGAGUGAAAUCCGUAGAUAUUCGGAGGAACACCAGUGGCGAAGGCGGCUUUCUGGACCGAUACUGACGCUGAGGUGCGAAAGUGUGGGGAGCAAACAGGAUUAGAUA
rnacentral:rRNA from 1 species